rnacentral:rRNA from 1 species
AGUGAACGCUGGCGGUAGGCCUAACACAUGCAAGUCGAACGGCAGCACAGUAAGAGCUUGCUCUUACGGGUGGCGAGUGGCGGACGGGUGAGGAAUACAUCGGAAUCUACUUUUUCGUGGGGGAUAACGUAGGGAAACUUACGCUACUACCGCAUACGACCUACGGGUGAAAGCAGGGGAUCUUCGGACCUUGCGCGAUUGAAUGAGCCGAUGUCGGAUUAGCUAGUUGGCGGGGUAAAGGCCCACCAAGGCGACGACCCGUAGCUGGUCUGAGAGGAUGAUCAGCCACACUGGAACUGAGACACGGUCCAGACUCCUACGGGAGGCAGCAGUGGGGAAUAUUGGACAAUGGGCGCAAGCCUGAUCCAGCCAUACCGCGUGGGUGAAGAAGGCCUUCGGGUUGUAAAGCCCUUUUGUUGGGAAAGAAAAGCAGCAGGUUAAUACCCCGCUGUUCUGACGGUACCCAAAGAAUAAGCACCGGCUAACUUCGUG